AGAGAUUGAAGAAGACUCGGUGUUCUUUUCUCCUCCAUAGCAGCAAGUAUAGAUUGAAGAAGACUCGAUUUCAGAGAUUGAAGAAUUCCAGAUUAGCUUGGAAGAGACUUACAGAUUUGGGCUAGACUUUGGUCAGUUUGUGUUUAUAGCUGUGAUCUUUCUGGAUAAGGUACUCUGCAUUUGUUUUGGCUGAGUAGUUCAAGACUUGAGAUUGCAUAAAAUGAAGAGGCAAAUGGAGAAAUCUAAGUCAUGUGGUACAGGUU